CCUACGGGUGGCUGCAGUGGGGAAUAUUGCACAAUGGGCGCAAGCCUGAUGCAGCCAUGCCGCGUGUGUGAAGAAGGCCUUCGGGUUGUAAAGCACUUUCAGCGGGGAGGAAGGCGGUGAGGUUAAUAACCUCAUCGAUUGACGUUACCCGCAGAAGAAGCACCGGCUGACUCCGUGCCAGCAGCCGCGGUAAUACGGAGGGUGCAAGCGUUAAUCGGAAUUACUGGGCGUAAAGCGCACGCAGGCGGUCUGUCAAGUCGGAUGUGAAAUCCCCGGGCUCAACCUGGGAACUGCAUUCGAAACUGGCAGGCUAGAGUCUUGUAGAGGGGGGUAGAAUACCAGGUGUAGCGGUGAAAUGCGUAGAGAUCUGGAGGAAUACCGGUGGCGAAGGCGGCCCCCUGGACAAAGACUGACGCUCAGGUGCGAAAGCGUGGGGAGCAAACAGGAUUAGAUACCCUAGUAGUC
rnacentral:rRNA from 1 species